AAGUCGUAACAAGGUUUCCGUAGGUGAACCUGCGGAAGGAUCAUUAGUGAAUAAUAGGAUGUCUUCUCUUCGGAGAGAGUCCGACCUCUCACUUUCUAACACUGUGCACUUUAAAUUGAUUGGAACCAGGUCUAUCGCAGAAAUGCUUCAGGCUACCAAUCCUUUUUUUAUAACUCUAAAAGUUAAAGAAUGUAAUGAUAAAACAUAACAAACGAAAAACUUUCAACAACGGAUCUCUUGGCUCUC
rnacentral:misc_RNA from 1 species